GGCGGUGCCAACUGCCAUGUGCCCAAAUAACUGUGAGCCUCUCUAGGUGCUAUUGCAUCAGCAGUACUGCAGACAAUCCCCACUGGUCGUUGAGGGUUCCUUCACAGCCUCUGUAGCCUGUAGGAUAGGGAAGACUUUAGAGCCGAACGAAGCCUUUUUUUUCACUGUAUACACACUUAUGUUCAGCAUACUGACAUACACUAGUUUAAACGACCAUACCUAACCUAGCUAGAAUCUUUAGUGAAGUGGGAUGGUGAUCCAUAAACUUGUAUGGAUAUGUUAUCUAGAUAUUCGAUCUUAAAAUACACUUUUGAGUCCCAAACU
rnacentral:sRNA from 1 species